rnacentral:misc_RNA from 1 species
UAUAUAUAUAUAUAUAUAUAGAAAAAGAUACUGAUUUGUCAUACUCAUAAUAUUCUUUUGAUGUACAAUAGGCAAUAUUGAUGUUCAUUAAAAGCUGGCCAUAUUUUUAAUGUAGAUUAAAUGGUAAAAUAGCUUUAAUAAUAGAGCUUGCUUGCAUGGUUACUUCUGUACAUUAAAGAAGCAAGAUAGAAUCCUGUAGGCAACUGGGCAUCCAACAGUCAUAACAUAUGGGCAAUUGUCUGAUCCCCUUAUCCCCGUGCAAGCCUGCCUCUUAUAUCCUUUUCACUAACAGAGUUUCCCCCUUCAUAUGCAG